CAGUCGCCGCGGGAAUACGUAGGUGGCAAGCGUUGUCCGGAAUUAUUGGGCGUAAAGGGCUCGCAGGCGGUUUCUUAAGUCUGAUGUGAAAGCCCCCGGCUCAACCGGGGAGGGUCAUUGGAAACUGGGAAACUUGAGUGCAGAAGAGGAGAGUGUAAUUCCACGUGUAGCGGUGAAAUGCGUAGAGAUGUGGAGGAACACCAGUGGCGAAGGCGACUCUCUGGUCUGUAACUGACGCUGAGGAGCGAAAGCGUGGGGAGCGAACAGGAUUAGAUACCCCCGUAGUCCCUGUCUCUUAUAC
rnacentral:rRNA from 1 species